UGACGAGCGGCGGACGGGUGAGUAAUGCAUAGGAAACUGCCCAGUAGUGGGGGAUAGCCCGRGGAAACCCGGAUUAAUACCGCGUACGCCNUUCGGGGGAAAGCAGGGGAUCUUCGGACCUUGCGCUAUUGGAUGUGCCUAUGUCGGAUUAGCUAGUUGGUGGGUAAAGGCCUACCAAGGCGACGAUCCGUAGCUGGUCUGAGAGGAUGAUCAGCCACAUCGGGACUGAGACACGGCCCGAACUCCUACGGGAGGCAGCAGUGGGGAAUAUUGGACAAUGGGGGCAACCCUGAUCCAGCCAUGCCGCGUGUGUGAAGAAGGCUUUCGGGUUGUAAAGCACUUUCAGUGAGGAGGAAAACUCUGCGACUAAUACUCGUAGGGCUUGACGUUACUCACAGAAGAAGCACCGGCUAACUCCGUGCCAGCAGCCGCGGUAAUACGGAGGGUGCAAGCGUUAAUCGGAAUUACUGGGCGUAAAGCGCGCGUAGGUGGUUUGAUAAGCGAGAUGUGAAAGCCCCGGGCUUAACCUGGGAACGGCAUUUCGAACUGUCAGGCUAGAGUAUGGUAGAGGGUAGUGGAAUUUCCUGUGUAGCGGUGAAAUGCGUAGAUAUAGGAAGGAACACCAGUGGCGAAGGCGGCUACCUGGACCAAUACUGACACUGAGGUGCGAAAGCGUGGGGRGCAAACAGGAUUAGAUANCNUGGUAGUCCACGCCGUAAACGAUGUCUACUAGCCGUUGGGAYUCUUGAANUCUUAGUGGCGC
rnacentral:rRNA from 1 species